CAUUGUCUUGUGUAAAUUUUUACACGGAGUAAUCGGUUGCGUGCGGUUUAAGAUGUUUGUAACGCGAUUGUGAAUAAUUAUUCUUUUGGAGUACCACUGGUACGUACAGUUUAUAUGUGUUUGUGAAUCAUCUUUAAUAUAAGAACAUCAAAUAUGUGUGCUUUGAACUUGUAGUAAAUGGGUUUAAUGUAGGAAAGAUAAUUCCUAAAAAUUGUGAUUUAUUGCAUGGAAAUUAUUCGAAAUUUUCUUCGUGUAUUUUCACUCAUUCCGAAGUUAAGAAGACGGCAGCUAAGAACGGAUUUUGUGACAGGACCGAAUUAAGGGGCCUCACACGCUAUCGUAACUAAAUGUUUGCUGUUAGAGAUAUAAGGAUUACGAACAUAUCGUCACAUUAAAAGGGGAUUACAAGGAAAUUAGAGAUGUAGCGCUCAAAAGGACUGAAGAAAUUGCUUUACUUCAUCGGAAGGAAAAUGGUAAGUCAGGCUACAUAAUCUCUUAAAACCUUUUUUGGAUCGUAUUAUGCAUAUA